rnacentral:rRNA from 1 species
UCCUACGGGUGGCAGCAGUGGGGAAUCUUGCGCAAUGGGCGAAAGCCUGACGCAGCAACGCCGCGUGCGGGAAGAAGGCUUUCGGGUUGUAAACCGCUUUCAGCAGGGAAGAAAAUGACGGUACCUGCAGAAGAAGGUGCGGCCAACUACGUGCCAGCAGCCGCGGUGACACGUAGGCACCAAGCGUUGUCCGGAUUUAUUGGGCGUAAAGAGCUCGUAGGCGGUUUAGUAAGUCGGGUGUGAAAACUUUGGGCUUAACCCAAAGCCUGCAUUCGAUACUGCUAUGACUUGAGUUCGGUAGGGGAGCGGGGAAUUCCUAGUGUAGCGGUGAAAUGCGCAGAUAUUAGGAGGAACACCGGUGGCGAAGGCGCCGCUCUGGGCCGAUACUGACGCUGAGGAGCGAAAGCGUGGGUAGCAAACAGGAUUAGAUACCCUAGUAGUC